GGUGCCAUCGUCUAGCGGCCUAGGACAUCACCUUUUCAGGGUGAAUAUCUGGGGUUCGAAUCCCCAUGGCAUCA
rnacentral:tRNA from 4 species